rnacentral:rRNA from 1 species
UACGUAGGGGGCAAGCGUUGUCCGGAUUUAUUGGGCGUAAAGAGCGUGUAGGCGGCUAGAUAGGUCCGUUGUGAAAACUCGAGGCUCAACCUCGAGACGUCGAUGGAAGCCAUCUGGCUAGAGUCCGGAAGAGGAGAGUGGAAUUCCUGGUGUAGCGGUGAAAUGCGCAGAUAUCAGGAAGAACACCCGUGGCGAAGGCGGCUCUCUGGGACGUGACUGACGCUGAGACGCGAAAGCGUGGGGAGCGAACAGG